CACAGCUGCGCCUCUCACCGGCCAGUCCCGGGACUGGGCGCUUAGACCGGGCUUUCUCCAUAAUCCGUGCUCAGGGAGGCGGGCGGGGAGCUGGGGGAGCUCCUGCCUGUGCUGCGCGGGCUGCCCCUCCUCCCCUCAGCUCGGCAACGGCGUCGGGUGCCCAUCUGCCGUGUUGGAGCACUUGGGCAGAGCCUGCAGCUCCGCUCUCCCAGGUCCAGAUGGCCACCCAGUCCUCCCCCACCCUCCCUCUGCCCUCACCCUGCCCCACUCAGAGCACGGGGCCUGGACAAAGCCGGCGGCCUCCCAGACGUCUCCCUGCUUGCUGAUUGCUGCCAGAGGACAGGUAGAGGGUCCCCGGUUGUCACGGAGACCAGGCCUGCCCAUCCUCCCGCAGCCUUCAGGCGGGGAGGGAGGCAGAUGGCUGGGUGGGAGAGUGGAAAACGCACAGCUAUCCGGAUACAGCAGGUGCACACAGGAACACACAUGCACGCGUGCCUCGGGCCUGUGGUGCUGUGGUAGCUUAUUGUGCAAGACGGAGGGUGACCGGUGUGCAGGUGGACGCAGGGCCUGUGCAGGCCAGCUGGUGCUCCCAACUCCCACCCCCUGGUAGUGGAAUCCCAGGGCCAGGAGAGAGCUGUAAGUGGUCUGUCUGUCCCUCUAGCUGCCCCCCCAUGACCCUGUCAGCUGACCGAUCCUCAGGUCGCUGCUCAGAGGUGGGCUUGGCACGAUAGACCCCAGGUGGACUGUGGAGUCCUACCCCUCUCUUGGGACUGGAAGCUCCUGGUCAGGGUUAUAACUCCCCCUUGAGCCGGGAGCCUCUCUCUAGGGUACGUCCUGAGUCCCCCCUUAAAUCAGAGGUUUCCUGAGUACAGGGCCUGUGUCUUCACAUUCUUGCUGGAAUAGGGGUCCCAAAUAGAAUCGCACUCUUCUCAAGCCCACAGGGACCGUGCUCCAGGAUAGACUACAUGUUAAGUCACCAAACAAGUCUCAAUAAGUUUCUAAACUUUAAAUCACCCGAAGUAUCUUCUCUGACCACAGCGGAAUAAAACUAGAAACCACAGAAAGAAAAUGAAAAUUCACAAGUACAUGGAAAUUGAACAUGACACUCUUGAUCAGCCAAUGCAUUGCACGAAGAAGAAAUCGCAGGGAAAUAAGAAAAUGAGAAAAUACUUUUGAGACGAUGAAAGCAAAAACAGCAAACUAAAACUCCCAGGAUUGAAUCAAAGCCAUGCCUAGAGAGAAAUUUAAGCUCUAAAUGCUUAUGUUAUAAAAGAUCUCAAAUCGAUAAACCAACUUUGCACUUUAAGAAACUGGAAAAAGAAGAACAAACAAAACCCAAAGCAAACAGAAGAAAUAAAAUACUAAAGAUUAGAGUGCAGGUGAACAAAAUAAAGAAUAGAAAAACAACAGAAAAAAAAAAUCAAUGAAACCGAGAGGUGAUUCUUUGAAAAUAUCAAUGAAAUUGACACACCUUUAACUGGAUUGACUAUGAAAAAGGGAAACAGAAUUCAACUUUAAGCUCAGAAAUGAAAUUGGGGCCAUUUCUACUGACUUUACAAAAAUAAAAGAUUAUAAGCCAAGAAACUAUUCAUAGAUAAUGGAAGUGAAAUCUACAAAUGCCUAAAAAGACAUACACUACCAAAAUUGACCCAGGAAGAAAUAGAAAAUCUCAACAGACCUAAAGAAGCGAAAUGAUUCAAUAAAGGAUCAAAAAUGUCCCAACAAAGAAAAGCCCAAGAUGAGGUGAAUUCAUUGGUGAUUCCAUUUAAAAAAGAAUCGGUGCCAAUCUUUCUCAAAUUCUUACACAAAAAUAAAUGAAGAAAUGUUCUAAUUCAUUCUACGAGGCCAGGAUUACCCUGAUGUGAAGUCUAAAGACAUCACAAGAAAAGAAAACCGUAGGCCAAUAUUCAUGACAAACAGAUGAUUAGAUUCGAAAUCAUUGCUGUAUUUAUAAUUGAGUGAGUGUGUGUGGUGGCGAGAGAUGCUGCAAAUUAGUACUUUAUAGAACUAUUUAUUAAACAUGUUUUUCAACAUCUGA